rnacentral:rRNA from 1 species
UACAGGGGGUGCAAACGUUGCUCGGAAUUAUUGGGCCUAAAGCGCAUGUAGGCGGUUCGUUAUGUCAGAUGUGAAAGCCCUUGGCUCAACUGAGGAAGUGCAUCUGAAACUGGCGAGCUAGAGUAUGUAAGAGGGUCGCGGAAUUCCCGGUGUAGAGGUGAAAUUCGUAGAUAUCGGGAGGAACACCGGUGGCGAAGGCGGCGACCUGGGACAAUACUGACGCUGAGGUGCGAAAGCGUGGGGAGCAAACAGG